UACGUAGGGGGCAAGCGUUAUCCGGAAUCACUGGGUGUAAAGGGAGCGUAGACGGCUGUGCAAACCUGAAGUGAAAGGCGGGGGCCCAACCCCUGGACUGCUUUGGGAACUGUACGGCUGGAGUGCAGGAGAGGUAAGUGGAAUUCCUAGUGUAGCGGUGAAAUGCGUAGAUAUUAGGAGGAACACCAGUGGCGAAGGCGGCUUACUGGACUGUAACUGACGUUGAGGCUCGAAAGCGUGGGGAGCAAACAGG
rnacentral:rRNA from 1 species